rnacentral:rRNA from 1 species
CAUGCCGUAAACGAUGAUUACUAGGUGUGGGGGGUCUGACCCCCUCCGUGCCGGAGUUAACACAAUAAGUAAUCCACCUGGGAAGUACGACCGCAAGGUUGAAACUCAAAGGAAUUGACGGGGGCCCGCACAAGCAGUGGAGUAUGUGGUUUAAUUCGAAGCAACGCGAAGAACCUUACCAGGUCUUGACAUCCAACUAAUCCUGUAGAGAUACGGGAGUGCCCUUCGGGGAAAGUUGAGACAGGUGG